UUAAUUGAAGCCAAAAAGAGGCCUAUCACUGUUAAUGAUAAAAUUGAGAAUAAACUCCAAUUAAA
rnacentral:tRNA from 1 species